rnacentral:lncRNA from 13 species
GGGAGUGUAGUACCAUCCAGGAUCCCAGACCGUCUGGUGAGGGGCACCCAGGAUUCCAGACCGUUCGGUGAGGGGCACCCAGGAUCCCAGACCGUCUGGUGAGGGGCACCCAGGAUCCCAGACCGUCUGGUGAGGCACCCAGGAUCCCAGACCGUCUGGUGAGGGGCACCCAGGAUCCCAGACCGUCUGGUGAGGCACCCAGGAUCCCAGACCGUCUGGUGAGGGGCACCCAGGAUCCCAGACCCUGUGACCACAAAGCCCUGACUCUUGCACAUCCAUCCCUGUAGCCAUUUUGAAUUCCUUGAUGCCCCUCCCUCUUUGUCAUCUGUCCCCCACUUUAUAGACAGUUUUUGUCCCCAUAAACUUUUAAUUAAUAACUUGGGAUUUUAACACUUGACAUAGCAAUNNNNNNNNNNUCCCUCCUUUCCUCGUGGUUGGCAUGACAACGACUUGGAAUGAUCGCACAAACGGACUGGUAGCUCACCAGCAGCCUGUCUAGACCACUGGGGUGAAACUGUGUUGGCCAUGUGUUCUGAGUGGUGGGACAGACCUGCCCCCCCCCCCCCUGUUACUAGAGGUGUGUUGGGGUCCUGAGGCCUAGAAACCUUCCUGUAUAGUAGCCCCUCACCUCUCAAGCGACUGUGG